GGGCCGGUAGCUCAACUGGCAGAGCAGCGGACUUUUAAUCCGCGGGUUGUGGGUUCGAUUCCCACCCGGCCUACCA
rnacentral:tRNA from 1 species